rnacentral:lncRNA from 1 species
GGACGCUCCUUCAACAACAACAGCUAGUCAGACACCUCGGUAGCUUUCUAGCAAACAUAGCUACAACAUUCACGCUCUUUACACUGGUUUGGUGUAUAUUUGUCGCUGUGUAUUAAACACACUUCUGUCGUAUGUACUUGUUGGCCCAUUUAAUGAUAUAUUUACGUUGUUUGUCAGCUAGCUGGUUUGCUAAAUUAGCUUAGAACUAAGCUAGUCGCUAAUGCCAGCUAGCUAACAUACUGACCAUGAGUUCACGAAGCUACUCUCCUCCUGCUAAAGAAGCGGAGGUCUGCUGGACGGAGAAAGAAGCUCUAGUGAAAGAGGAGGAGGAAGAGGAGGCUGUUACAAUACAAAAACAAGUAGAGGGUGAAGCUGUUAGCGUGAAAGAAGAAGAGAAAGACGUUACAGUGAAAGAAGAGAAAGACGCGUUCAGAGUGAAAGAGGAGGAGGAUGUUACUGUAAAAGAAGAGGCGGCAGAGAAAGAGGAGGAUUCCGUUUUUGGAGUGAAAGGGGAGGAGGGGGAGAUGACUGUCACAUUGGAGGAAGAAGAGGAGGUUGGAGAUCUGUUUAACACCAGACUGGAGACCACAGCAGCGAUUCUGCUCUUGCCCUACCUCUUCAAUGAGGACCCGAGUGGCCUUUAUGUCCGUGACAAGAUUUCACCGCUCUUCACUCCUUUACUGCACAUCGGUGGAAAUCCAUUUCACCAUGAGAGUGAAAUCCCGCUGGCCUUUGAUGGGGAGAACAUCCAGGCCCUCGAGGACGUCCCCAUGGGACUUGGGGCUCUGCUACGGCUGUAUUUUUUAUUUUCCCUUAAAUUUCCCAAAAAUGUCAGUAAAACACUUAUGUUGUUAAGUUACUGUGUUCUGGGGAUCAGAGAAGUUGGGGUGAAGUUACCAGGGCCGGUCGUAAAGAUGGAAAACUUCCUAACAUAACUAAGUGGAUUCGAUAUACACACUAAAGCUGAAAAAUCUGUAUUUAGCAUCAAGUCUACAAUAUUGU